rnacentral:lncRNA from 1 species
CUUGCUGUGGUGCUAUGCGCUUGGAACCAGUGUGUGACACCGCCGGCAACUACUACGACAGUCCCUGCAGUUUGAACUGCGUUGAGGGUGCCGUUCAGGCCGCAGCGUCCGCCUACGAAAUCAGUGGUAGCACCUGUGUUGCUGCCAGGAAGUAGAUGACCAUCGUGUUUGACCACAUGCAUCAUCCAGGGCCAAAACAGCGCAUACUAGUUGUGCAAUAAAAUAUAGAAGCAGUUCA